rnacentral:snRNA from 1 species
GUGCUCGCUUCAGCAGCACAUACACUAAAAUUGGAAUGAUACAGAGAAGAUUAGCAUGGCCCCUGUGCAAGGAUGACACGCAAAUUUGUGAAGCAUUCCAUAUUUUU